rnacentral:rRNA from 1 species
GACGAACGCUGGCGGCGUGCUUAACACAUGCAAGUCGAACGGAAAGGCUCCAGCUUGCUGGCGUACUCGAGUGGCGAACGGGUGAGUAACACGUGGGUAAUCUGCCCUGCACUCUGGGAUAAGCCUGGGAAACUGGGUCUAAUACUGGAUAUGACCUUUCUCCUUAUGGGGUUUGGUGGAAAGUUUUUCGGUGUAGGAUGAGCCCGCGGCCUAUCAGCUUGUUGGUGGGGUGAUGGCCUACCAAGGCGACGACGGGUAGCCGGCCUGAGAGGGUGAUCGGCCACAUUGGGACUGAGAUACGGCCCAGACUCCUACGGGAGGCAGCAGUGGGGAAUAUUGCACAAUGGGCGGAAGCCUGAUGCAGCGACGCCGCGUGAGGGAUGACGGCCUUCGGGUUAUAAACCUCUUUCAGCAGGGACGAAGCGUAAGUGACGGUACCUGCAGAAGAAGCACCGGCUAACUAUGUG